rnacentral:rRNA from 1 species
GAUGAACGCUAGCGGCAGGCCUAACACAUGCAAGUCGAGGGAGAAGCCCUUUCGGGGGCAGAAACCGGCGCACGGGUGCGUAACGCGUAUGCAACCUACCUUUCACAGGGGGAUAGCCCGAAGAAAUUUGGAUUAAUACCCCAUAAUAUUAUUGGAUGGCAUCAUUUGAUAAUUAAAACUGCGGUGGUGAAAGAUGGGCAUGCGUCCUAUUAGCUAGUUGGAGUGGUAACGGCACCCCAAGGCUACGAUAGGUAGGGGUCCUGAGAGGGAGAUCCCCCACACUGGUACUGAGACAGGGACCAGACUCCUACGGGAGGCAGCAGUGAGGAAUAUUGGUCAAUGGUCGGAAGACUGAACCAGCCAUGCCGCGUGCAGGAAGAAUGCCUUAUGGGUUGUAAACUGCUUUUAUAUGGGAAGAAUAAGGCGUACGUGUACGUGAUGACGGUACCAUAUGAAUAAGCU